UACGUAGGGUGCAAGCGUUGUCCGGAUUCACUGGGUGUAAAGGGUGCGCAGGCGGAUGGGGAAGUCAGAGGUGAAAUCUCACAGCUCAACUGUGAAACUGCCUUUGAUACUCUUCAUCUUGAGUUCGGGAGAGGUUGAUGGAAUUCCAGGUGUAGCGGUGAAAUGCGUAGAUAUCUGGAAGAACACCGGUGGCGAAGGCGGUCAACUGGCCCGCAACUGACGCUGAGGCACGAAAGCGUGGGGAUCAAACAGG
rnacentral:rRNA from 1 species